rnacentral:rRNA from 1 species
GGUAGUCUCGCACAGAUGCAUAUCAAUAAGCGGAGGAAAAGAAACUAACAAGGAUUCCCCUAGUAACGGCGAGUGAAGCGGGAAGAGCUCAAAUUUGAAAUCUUAAAGGGUUUCCCUUCACGAAUUGUAGUUUAAAGAAGUGUUUUCUGUUGAGGUUUUGGUAAAAGUUCUUUGGAAUAGGACAUCAUAGAGGGUGAGAAUCCCGUAUUUGACCUUUACUUUCAACUUUGUGAUACACUUUCAAAGAGUCGGAUUGUUUGGGAAUGCAGUCCAAAAUGGGUGGUAAAUUUCAUCUAAAGCUAAAUAUUGGCGAGAGACCGAUAGCGAACAAGUACCGUGAGGGAAAGAUGAAAAGAACUUUGAAAAGAGAGUUAAACAGUACGUGAAAUUGUCAAAAGGGAAGCGUUUGACACCAGUGUUGUUUUUCUGAAAAUCAAUUAAAGAACUGUUUAUGCUAAGUUGUUUAGACUUUAUCAGCUAUCUGUUUAGUUUUGAGCUUUUCUUUAAUGCACUUUUCAGUUAACAAGUCAACAUCAAUUUCUCUUUGCUGUAAAAAAGCUUGAGGAAGGUGGCUUGAGAUUCGUCUUAAGUGUUUAUAGCCUCUUGCCUAUGCAGUCGGAGAGAUUGAGGUCUGCAGCGUAGAUCCUUCGGGGCUAAAUGCAUUUGUGCUAAGUUAUAGCAUUUUAUAGACAACUUGUUGACUAUGAUUUGUCUUGUAGCUUACUCGCUUAUGUUAUUUUACCUACGCUUAGGAUGUUGAUCUGUAGUGCGUGCGC